AAAUCCUAUAAAGGAUGGGGUGUCUUGCAUUAUUUUUUGGGUUCUGUCCUGCUAUGUCAUCUGUCCGGACUGACAAGAACCCAGCUUCUCUCUCGCACUCGACCUGUCUGGCCAAUAGGUUGGGCCGAACAACAGAUUGAUUCCACAACAGAAUCCUGCUUGCAGCUCUGAUCUAUUUUUCUUAAGGUUUUAAGCUCAGCAUUCAGAAGCGUAUUGCUACUUUCCCCCAGGGUGCAAAGGAAGCCCCAAGGCCAAUAGAAGGCAACUGACUGACUCCAGAUGUGUCCCUGUAACAGGGAGGCUCUGGCGCCCUGCUACGGAGCUGCACUGUCCCAGGCCCUUUGGAGAGAGGGGGGCC